rnacentral:rRNA from 1 species
UGGGGUGACUGCGUACCUUUUGUAUAAUGGGUCAGCGACUUAUAUUCUGUAGCAAGGUUAACCGUAUAGGGGAGCCGGAGGGAAACCGAGUCUUAACCGGGCGUUAAGUUGCAGGGUAUAGACCCGAAACCCGGUGAUCUAGCCAUGGGCAGGUUGAAGGUUGGGUAACACUAACUGGAGGACCGAACCGACUAAUGUUGAAAAAUUAGCGGAUGACCUGUGGCUGGGGGUGAAAGGCCAAUCAAACCGGGAGAUAGCUGGUUCUCCCCGAAAGCUAUUUAGGUAGCGCCUCGUGAAUUCAUCUCCGGGGGUAGAGCACUGUUUCGGCUAGGGGGUCAUCCCGACUUACCAACCCGAUGCAAACUGCGAAUACCGGAGAAUGUUAUCACGGGAGACACACGGCGGGUGCUAACGUCCGUCGUGAAGAGGGAAACAACCCAGACCGCCAGCUAAGGUCCCAAAGUCAUGGUUAAGUGGGAAACGAUGUGGGAAGGCCCAGACAGCCAGGAUGUUGGCUUAGAAGCAGCCAUCAUUUAAAGAAAGCGUAAUAGCUCACUGGUCGAGUCGGCCUGCGCGGAAGAUGUAACGGGGCUAAACCAUGCACCGAAGCUGCGGCAGCGACACUCAGGUGUUGUUGGGUAGGGGAGCGUUCUGUAAGCCUGCGAAGGUGGCCUGUGAGGGUUGCUGGAGGUAUCAGAAGUGCGAAUGCUGACAUAAGUAACGAUAAAGCGGGUGAAAAGCCCGCUCGCCGGAAGACCAAGGGUUCCUGUCCAACGUUAAUCGGGGCAGGGUGAGUCGACCCCUAAGGCGAGGCCGAAAGGCGUAGUCGAUGGGAAACGGGUUAAUAUUCCCGUACUUGGUGUUACUGCGAAGGGGGGACGGAGAAGGCUAUGUUGGCCGGGCGACGGUUGUCCCGGUUUAAGCGUGUAGGUGUGUGUUCCAGGUAAAUCCGGUUCACUUUAACACUGAGGCGUGAUGACGAGGCACUACGGUGCUGAAGCAACAAAUGCCCUGCUUCCAGGAAAAGCCUCUAAGCAUCAGGUAACAUCAAAUCGUACCCCAAACCGACACAGGUGGUCAGGUAGAGAAUACCAAGGCGCUUGAGAGAACUCGGGUGAAGGAACUAGGCAAAAUGGUGCCGUAACUUCGGGAGAAGGCACGCUGACACGUAGGUGAAGUGAUUUACUCACGGAGCUGAAGUCAGUCGAAGAUACCAGCUGGCUGCAACUGUUUAUUAAAAACACAGCACUGUGCAAACACGAAAGUGGACGUAUACGGUGUGACGCCUGCCCGGUGCCGGAAGGUUAAUUGAUGGGGUCAGCGCAAGCGAAGCUCCUGAUCGAAGCCCCGGUAAACGGCGGCCGUAACUAUAACGGUCCUAAGGUAGCGAAAUUCCUUGUCGGGUAAGUUCCGACCUGCACGAAUGGCGUAAUGAUGGCCAGGCUGUCUCCACCCGAGACUCAGUGAAAUUGAACUCGCUGUGAAGAUGCAGUGUACCCGCGGCAAGACGGAAAGACCCCGUGAACCUUUACUAUAGCUUGACACUGAACAUUGAGCCUUGAUGUGUAGGAUAGGUGGGAGGCUUUGAAGCGUGGACGCCAGUCUGCGUGGAGCCGACCUUGAAAUACCACCCUUUAAUGUUUGAUGUUCUAACGUGGACCCGUGAUCCGGGUUGCGGACAGUGUCUGGUGGGUAGUUUGACUGGGGCGGUCUCCUCCUAAAGAGUAACGGAGGAGCACGAAGGUUGGCUAAUCCUGGUCGGACAUCAGGAGGUUAGUGCAAUGGCAUAAGCCAGCUUGACUGCGAGCGUGACGGCGCGAGCAGGUGCGAAAGCAGGUCAUAGUGAUCCGGUGGUUCUGAAUGGAAGGGCCAUCGCUCAACGGAUAAAAGGUACUCCGGGGAUAACAGGCUGAUACCGCCCAAGAGUUCAUAUCGACGGCGGUGUUUGGCACCUCGAUGUCGGCUCAUCACAUCCUGGGGCUGAAGUAGGUCCCAAGGGUAUGGCUGUUCGCCAUUUAAAGUGGUACGCGAGCUGGGUUUAGAACGUCGUGAGACAGUUCGGUCCCUAUCUGCCGUGGGCGCUGGAGAACUGAGGGGGGCUGCUCCUAGUACGAGAGGACCGGAGUGGACGCAUCACUGGUGUUCGGGUUGUCAUGCCAAUGGCACUGCCCGGUAGCUAAAUGCGGAAGAGAUAAGUGCUGAAAGCAUCUAAGCACGAAACUUGCCCCGAGAUGAGUUCUCCCUGAGACUUAGAGUCUCCUGAAGGAACGUUGAAGACGACGACGUUGAUAGGCCGGGUGUGUAAGCGCAGCGAUGCGUUGAGCUAACCGGUACUAAUGAACCGUGAGGCUUAACCUUACAACGCCGAAG